GGCGGCGGCAUGGGCGGUGGUGCCAAUGGCGGCUACGGCUCUGGUAACGGUGGCGGCGUCGGCAAGGGCCAGGGCGAGAGCGGUGUAGCAUUGGCACCAACUGGUGUGUACAACGGUGGCGUCGCCGAUGCUACCGGUGGCGGUUCUGGCUCCGGUGGUGGCAACGGCGGUGGCGCAGCCGGAGCUCCAAGCUACGGAACCGGAGGUGGUAUUGGUGGAGGCAGGGGACAGGCCGGCAGUGACGGCUCCUGGGGCUCAGGUUUCGCACAGGGUAUUGGUGCUGGCACCGGCGGCGGUGGCGGUGGCGGUUCCGAGGGCGGCUCCGGCGGUGGCGGCGGCGUUGGUUCCGGAUCCGGCAGCGGUGGCAUCCACUGAGAUUUCCCUAGC
rnacentral:lncRNA from 1 species